CAUAGGGGUGUUGUGAGGAUUGGUGAGUGAGAUUCACAUAAAGCAUUGAGCCCAGCAUCCACCACAGUCUAAGUUAUCUGUGAAUGUGAGCUAUGGCUGCAGAAAGGGAGCUGAGUCACCUUUGGAAAGUUAUCUUCCUGCACCCUGGUCUCCUCAUUAAUCAUGUGGAAAAGUUGAAAGUUAACUAGGAAAGUGCUUCACUCAGUGAGUUUUUAGUAAGUAUGUUCCUGCUGU